AUUGAACGCUGGCGGCGUGCCUAAUACAUGCAAGUCGAGCGCAGGAAGCCGUCUGAACCCUUCGGGGGGACGACGGUGGAAUGAGCGGCGGACGGGUGAGUAACACGUAAAGAACCUGCCCAUAGGCCUGGGAUAACCACGAGAAAUCGGGGCUAAUCCCGGAUGCGUCAUCGGACCGCAUGGUCCGCCGAUGAAAGGCCCCCCGGCGUCCCCCAUGGAUGGCCUUGCGGUGCAUUAGCUAGUUGGUGGGGUAACGGCCCACCAAGGCGACGAUGCAUAGCCGACCUGAGAGGGUGAGCGGCCACACUGGGACUGAGACACGGCCCAGACUCCUACGGGAGGCAGCAGUAGGGAAUCUUCCACAAUGGACGAAAGUCUGAUGGAGCAACGCCGCGUGAACGAUGAAGGCUUUCGGGUCGUAAAGUUCUGUUGUAAGGGAAGAACAAGUGCCGCAGGCAAUGGCGGCACCUUGACGGUACCUUGCGAGAAAGCCACGGCUAACUACGUGCCAUCAGCCGCGGUAA
rnacentral:rRNA from 1 species